GACGAACGCUGGCGGCGUGCUUAACACAUGCAAGUCGAACGGUGAACCUCUUCGGAGGGGAUCAGUGGCGAACGGGUGAGUAACACGUGGGCAACCUGCCCCCGGCUCUGGGAUAACUCCAAGAAAUUGGGGCUAAUACCGGAUGUUCACAGCUUCUCGCAUGGGUGGUGGUGGAAAGGGUUUCCGGCUGGGGAUGGGCACGCGGCCUAUCAGCUUGUCGGUGGGGUAGUGGCCUACCAAGGCGACGACGGGUAGGCGGCCUGGGAGGGUGACCGGCCACACUGGGACUGAGACACGGCCCAGACUCCGACGGGAGGCAGUAGGGGGGAAUAUUGCGCAAUGGGCGGAAGCCUGACGCAGCGACGCCGCGUGGGGGAUGACGGCCUUCUGGUUGUAAACCUCUUUCAGCAGGGACGAAGCGCAAGUGACGGUACCUGCAGAAGAAGCACCGGCCAACUACGUG
rnacentral:rRNA from 1 species